rnacentral:rRNA from 1 species
UACGAACCGAGCGAUCGUUGUUCGGAAUCACUGGGCUUAAAGGGCGCGUAGGCGGGUGCUCAAGUCCGUGGUGAAAUCCUCCGGCUCAACCGGAGAACUGCCUCGGAUACUGGGCGUCUCGAGUGUGGUAGGGGUAUGCGGAACUAUCGGUGGAGCGGUGAAAUGCGUUGAUAUCGAUAGGAACUCCGGUGGCGAAGGCGGCAUACUGGACCACCACUGACGCUGAUGCGCGAAAGCCAGGGGAGCAAACGGG